rnacentral:rRNA from 1 species
CAGCCGCCGCGGGAAUACGAAGGGGGCUAGCGUUGUUCAGAUUUACUGGGCGUAAAGGGCGCGUAGGCGGACUGAUAAGUCAGGGGUGAAAUCCCAAGGCUCAACCUUGGAACUGCCUUUGAUACUGUUUGUCUUGAGUUCGAGAGAGGUAAGUGGAACUGCGAGUGUAGAGGUGAAAUUCGUAGAUAUUCGCAAGAACACCAGUGGCGAAGGCGGCUUACUGGCUCGAAACUGACGCUGAGGCGCGAAAGCGUGGGGAGCAAACAGGAUUAGAUACCCCCGUAGUCCCUGUCUCUUAUAC